rnacentral:rRNA from 1 species
CUUAACACAUGCAAGUCGAGGGGCAGCAUGGUCUUAGCUUGCUAAGGCCGAUGGCGACCGGCGCACGGGUGAGUAACACGUAUCCAACCUGCCGUCUACUCUUGGACAGCCUUCUGAAAGGAAGAUUAAUACAAGAUGGCAUCAUGAGUCCGCAUGUUCACAUGAUUAAAGGUAUUCCGGUAGACGAUGGGGAUGCGUUCCAUUAGAUAGUAGGCGGGGUAACGGCCCACCUAGUCUUCGAUGGAUAGGGGUUCUGAGAGGAAGGUCCCCCACAUUGGAACUGAGACACGGUCCAAACUCCUACGGGAGGCAGCAGUGAGGAAUAUUGGUCAAUGGGCGAGAGCCUGAACCAGCCAAGUAGCGUGAAGGAUGACUGCCCUAUGGGUUGUAAACUUCUUUUAUAAAGGAAUAAAGUCGGGUAUGGAUACCCGUUUGCAUGUACUUUAUGAAUAAGGAUCGGCUAACUCCGUGCCAGCAGCCGCGGUAAUACGGAGGAUCCGAGCGUUAUCCGGAUUUAUUGGGUUUAAAGGGAGCGUAGAUGGAUGUUUAAGUCAGUUGUGAAAGUUUGCGGCUCAACCGUAAAAUUGCAGUUGAUACUGGAUAUCUUGAGUGCAGUUGAGGCAGGCGGAAUUCGUGGUGUAGCGGUGAAAUGCU